rnacentral:rRNA from 1 species
UAGGGAAUAUUGGUCAAUGGACGCAAGUCUGAACCAGCCAUGCCGCGUGAAGGAUGAAGGCCCUAUGGGUCGUAAACUUCUUUUAUUAGGGAAGAAAAAACGGGAUGCGUCCUGUACUGACGGUACUUAAUGAAUAAGGAUCGGCUAACUUCGUGCCAGCAGCCGCGGUAAGACGAAGGAUCCAAGCGUUGUCCGGAUUUACUGGGUUUAAAGGGUGCGUAGGCGGAAAAUUAAGUCAGUGGUGAAAGCCCGCAGCUCAACUGUGGAACUGCCAUUGAAACUGGUUUUCUUGAAUGUAGCUGAGGCAGAUGGAAUAUAACAUGUAGCGGUGAAAUGCUUAGAUAUGUUAUAGAACACCGAUUGCGAAGGCAGUCUGCUAAACUAUUAUUGACGCUGAGGC